UAAAGGCUCACCAAGGCAUCGAUCAGUAGCUGGUCUGAGAGGACCACCAGCCACACUGGGACAGAAACACGGCCCAGACUCCUACGGGAGGCAGCAGUGGGGAAUUUUGGACAAUGGGCGCAAGCCUGAUCCAGCAAUGCCGCGUGAGUGAAGAAGGCCUUCGGGUUGUAAAGCUCUUUUGUCAGGGAAGAAACGGCUCUGGUUAAUACCUGGGGCUAAUGACGGUACCUGAAGAAUAAGCACCGGCUAACUACCUGCCAGCAGCCGCGGUAAUACGUAUGGUGCAAGCGUUAAUCGGAAUUACUGGGCGUAAAGCGUGCGCAGGCGGUUGUGUAAGACAGGUGUGAAAUCCCCGGGCUUAACCUGGGAAUGGCAUUUGUGACUGCACGGCUAGAGUGUGUCAGAGGGGGGUAGAAUUCCACGUGUAGCAGUGAAAUG
rnacentral:rRNA from 1 species